GUCUCACCCGCAGCCUGCAGGGACCCCGCACACAGGGUGCUCCCUCCUCUCCUGGGGGCUGCUUGAUAAUUCCAAGGCACGUUGCCCCCACUGGCCACACUGACCCUUCAGCGAUGGCCCCAUGGCCCUGCAGAAUCGCCUCCCCGGGGUGCGGAGCGGCCUGAGACUGUCCUGGGAUCGUCUGCCCCAGGCCAAGGCUCUGUCGUGGCACCAGGGACUUCGGGAAAGGGGGACAGUCGCUGGUGGGCCAGGCCUCGUCGGGCGAGCCCCAGAAGGGAGCAGAGAUGGUGUGAAGCUCGGAAGGGGUCCGAUGCAGCGGAGACCCUCUGCUGUGGGCUUGGAGGACGGAGCAGGCCAGGCAGCGAGGCGCAGGGGUGGCUGUGAGGAGCUGACACUUGGCAGCGGGGCACUGGGACCCUGGCCCCCAGCUGCAUGGAACCGAAUUCUGGAGCCAUCGAGUGAACUCGGGAGCCAGCUGCAAGCCGUGGAGGAGACAUCUCGCCAUUGGCCUGGGGAGACCCUGGGCGGCAAAGCCAGCUCGCUGGCCGGGCUGAGGCGGCUAAGCCUGCCACCACGUGUCGCGCCAACGCACAGGCCAGGGGGCACCGACCCGCGUCCCCUCACUGCCGGGCCGGAGUCCUUCCAGUGUCCCUCUGUGGGACGUCGGGCGGCCGGCUGUGAGCAGGACUGGCCGCUGGGCGUGCACACCGGGCGAGCGUGCUGCACGCGUGACAGCUGCUACUCCCCUCUGCAGCAGCCGACACGGCGGGGGGCACGUGAAAGCCAAGGGACCUUGUGAUGACUGUUCCCUCAUGCACCCAACCGGUCCCUGAGGUUCGGUGAACCGGGGCCUGAGCACGUGCAUUUAACCCCCGGACACAGGCCCGGGGGACUCCGGCCCGCAGACAGCGGCCGCUUCCUGGCAGCCCCGCUGCGCUCCUCCCGGCUCCUCAUCCAGGAAGACGGGGCUGGAGCAGCCAGUGUGUCCGCUGACUCACAGCCGGGAAGGUGGCCUUGCAGAGGGAGGGGAGCAGCUGGCAGUCCCUGGGGGCCCCGGAGCUCAGCUCAGCUUCCUGGCAGCAGAGCCGGAGGGGUGGGGAGGGGAGGGGCGGGCAGGCGAGUCCGCAGAGAGAACAGACACCGCCUGCAUUUUGCUUUAAAACUUCCGGACCCGGCCGCUUCACAGCUCACCGAGCUUCUGCUCUUUCCUCCCAGCGCCCCGUGGCCUGACCCCCCACCCCUGCCUGCCAUCGAAUAGGAGAGAAAAAUCCCCAAAUGCCCCACAGGCCUCUAGCCCGAUUUGACAGCAGGGUGGACACUGGGGGCGCAGGGCACGCGGGCUCAUCCCCAGCUGUCCCUAGCCGAGGCCUGACCAUUCCUGGGCACCCCGUGUGCAGAGGAGACAACACAGGGAACAACCUCGAAGCCGAACAGGAAGAGAUGGAGGUUUGGAAAGGGAGCCGGCUCCGUGGCCCUGUGAGAACAAGUUGCCCAUGUUUGCAGGCGCCUGUCCACACGUACCUCGGACGAUGUGUUUCCCGCACGCGCACCGCGAGCAGCCGCCCUGGGCCCCGUACACCUCCAGGGGUACCCUGCACGGAAGCCCCAGGACCUCACCCUGGCAGUCCUGCCCCCAGGGGACACUGGGCAGUGUCUGGGCACGUCUGUGGUUGUCACACUGGGGGGGGGGCAGGGAUGCCGCUCGGCACCCUGCAGUGCCCAGGACGGCCCCACAGAGAACGACCGCCGGCCAACGCCAGCAGUGGCCAAGGGGACCCUGCUCUGAUCUCUGGAAACGUGCACACGGCGUGGACAGCACACGCUGGAUGCUGGGGUGCUAGGGCCAGGGCGGGUAUGUGCUUCCAUGUGUCCCCGCCAGCGGGGAUGGGCGCCCCCGGCCCCCAGCAAGGCCGCCCCAGAGAGGGGCCUGAGGGGGCCGCGCUGGCACUGGAGCCUCACUGGGCCUUCCCAGCCCUCCGUGUAUCUGUGACCUUUUGGUGGGGCCGCGGGGGCCAUGGGAGAAGGCACGCGCCCGCAGCAGAAUGGCAUCUCGUGACCGUCACCAGUCCCUUUGUGUGCAGGCUAAAUCGGUCCCUCGGAGACUAUAUUUAGAAAGAGCCAGAGAACAGGAUGAACGAGGCGCCCACAGGCCAGGGGGCAACGGAGCCGCGGUCCUGGCAGCUGGAGCGCGGAGCCCAGAACCAACGGCUGUGGGCGUGGGUGGACAAUGAGCCUGCGGUGACACAGGGUGACGGAGCGUGACGGUGCAGCCGACGCGCGGGCAGAAGAACAGGCCCUCUCUGUCCACCCAGAGGGCGUGUGAGAGUGUGCAAGCCCGGGACCCGGGCUGCGCCCCACUGCGCUCCCGCGCUCAGCUUCCCGGCACGGAGGACGUGGCGUCACCCUGGCCCCCAGCGCGGCUCGGGAGCCAAAGGGCAGGAGGGCCGGGGACGGCAGGGGCAGAUCCAGGCCUCCCCACACCGGCUCAGGCGGGUCCUCUUCCACCUGGGCCUGGACAGACUCCUGCACACUCUGCAAAGCCCGUGAAGCGCUGGCCCCCCUGAGAAGCCCCUAGCCUAUUGUCCAGCACGGCCAGGCCACUAAGACCUCUCCUUGGACAUUCCUUGGGCACUGUAUGCCUUUCCCGCAGCUGCUGUCACAAGUUACUGCCAACUUGGUGGCUGAAAACCAUACACAUUUAUUCUCUCUCAGUCCUGGCACGGGCCUCACGGGCCAAACCCAGGAGGGGCAGGGCCGGGCCAUCCCGAGGCUCCGGGGAGGACCAUUUCUGGCCGUUUCCAGCUUCUAGAGUCACCGCAUCCCUAGCGAGUGGCCCCUUCCCCCUUGUCACAGGCGGCGGUGCAGCCUCGUUCAUCUCUCUGUGACCCUCCUGCCUCCGCCUUAUGAGGACCCGUGAGGACGCUGGGCCCCCGGAACUGAAGGUUAUGACUUGGUCUCAGGGAUUCGUGUGUGGUCAUUUCUGGGGACAUGGCCUGGAUGCCGGGCACCAAAGCGCCACCUAGGUGGAGGGGCUGUUGGCAGCACUGCAGGUGCUCACUGAGGCUCCUUCCCAGAGUUCCCUGUCCCCAGGACCAAUCUCUCUCUCAGGACAAGGGCCCCAGAACCAGACUGCCUGGGGCAGAGCACUUGGCCACACCUGGUGGCCUGCCCCGGGCACACAUGCCCUCGAGGUCAAACCUGGCUCUGGGUCAUCGGCCGCAGCUUCCUGCUUAGGCUCUGGGUCACUGGCUGACACCCCGGGUAUUGGAGGUUCGACAGUGCGCCACGCAGUGGCCAGCGGCCCCUGAGCGUGCGUGGGGUCUGCAGGGAUGCCCGCCCCACCUCCGAUGCUGCUGGAAAGCCCUGGAAUGAACGGGCCCACAGAGGCCACUCCCAAGGGCCAGCUGUAGGUGGGUCACGUUAAAAAUGAAAAACCAAAGCAGCCAACAGUGGGAUUAAAUGAACUGUUUUAGAGUCUCACUCAGGGUGUUUCUGUCCCCACUAGGGGACACUGGGCAACGUCUGGGGACAUCUGUGGCCAUCACAAGUUGGGGUGCUCCUAGCAUCGAGGGGGGGGCAGGGAUACUGCCCAACCCCCCACAAGGCCCAGGAUGCCCCCUGAGAGUGGCCCAGCCCCACUGUCAGCAGGGCUGAGGGGGACCCUGGUCUUAGGCAUGUUCCAAUCCAGGGGCCAGUUUCUGUGAAAAGUGUCCCUUGUUUUGGUCCCACCAGGUCCAAGGGAGAAGCCAGGUGGGCUGCAGCCCCCUGACGUGGCUCCCAGGCACCAGCUCCUGGCCCACGCCACGAAUCGUCAGUGUCCGGGCAGGUCCCGACCCCUGAGGGGCCCCAGGUACGGGAAGGACGGUGCCAACCCACGUGUCUGGCUGGAUGCUUGACCCCCAAACACAGCAAUGUGGGGGAUGGGGAGAGAGAAGCAAACGUUUGGGUCCAGGACGCGGGAUUCGGCCAGGGCAGGCAGAGGGCUUCGCGAGGCCAGCACCAAGGUGCCGGGCUGCGUCCUCCUCUGGGGACACGGACGGGGAAGGAUCCACACUGUGGUGCGAGGCAUGGCACUUGGUGUCUGUCUCCUGUGGAACCUUUCAGGGAAAGACAGCCGCAGCUGCCCCGUGGAGGACACUGGUCACCGAGCCCCAGCGACCGGGGGGGGCAGGACCUGCAGUGCUUGGGGUCGUGGGUGGCGGCGCUGAGUUCGCAGAACCCCCUGUGACGUGAGCUCGUCUCAGCUGCCCAGUGGCCUCUGCCCAAAACAGGGUUUCAGUGACCUGGACGGAAUUCCUAACAAAGACUGAGUGUCCGCUUAUGCUCAUGCCGACGUCCCCUUUCUCGUCCGUCCAAAUUCCUCACGCCUGUUCUUGUUACUGCAGAGACGCCGCCAGGCCCCAGGCUGCCUGGAAAUGCUCAGGUCUGCCCCGGGCCUUUCCUGGAAGGGGCCGGGUGCCGCCGCUCAGCCACUGUACGACUUCAGAAGGGCCGUUCGGGCUGAAGCGGGCACCCAGGAAGCGGGGAGGAUGCACAGGACUCAGGAGGGUGGUUUCGUGCCAGCCGGCGGGGAAAGGGAGCACCUGUGCUUCGGCCCAGCUGGCGAGGGUCGGGGCGAGCCCUGGCAGGGACGGUGGCCUCCGGUGACAGGCGGCCAGCGCUCGGGGCACAGCACAGCCCUCCAGGAGAGAGACGAGGGCUGUGCUGACACCCGAGGGAGGCUGGAAGCUGGCGGUUCUUUCCCAUUCGAGCCUCCAGGUAAGAAAGGAGCCUGGGUGACACCUGGGUGGUGGCCUGGUGAGACCCAGCUGCUGUCCCCGUCCUGGCUCUCCCAGGGAAAGUGACCACGGGCCUGGAGAGUUCUGAGGGCCCAUUAGAUGGCCAAGUGACCAUGCAGCCUGGGAAGAGGGUGACGGUUGAUUUUACAGGUCCACUUGCCCGGGCCACGGGGUGCCCCAAUAUGUGGUCAGACAUUAUUCUGGAUGCUUCGGUGAGGGUGUUUCUGGAUGAGACUAUCGAUUAAACCGGUGGAUGAUGAGAAAAGCAGACUGCCCUCCCUAACACGGGUGGGCCUCGCCCAAUCAGUUGAAGGCGUGACCAGAACAGAGAACGGACUCCUGGAGCAAACGGGCUCCUCCGGCGACGGUUUCCAGACUCGAACUGCACCACGGGUUCUCCUCGGUCCCCAGCGGCAGCGUUUGGACCUGCUGGUCGCCACGAUCGGUUCCUUAAAAUAAAUCUCUGUGUACAGAC